CUAACACAUUCUGAAGGAAAGAACAGUAGCUCUCCUGGCAUGUAAGCUCCUAAUUGCUUGUGAGCCUCAGGCACGCAGGAACAGUGCUCCUCUCUCCUAGAGCCAACAGUAGAAGGGCUGCCAACACUCUAUGGUGGACCACAGGAAGAGAGAAACAACAUAAACACAGAGCCUUCCCCAUCCACCUCAGAAAGUCAUCCCAAUACUGCUCACAGUUCCCAAUCAGCACUGCUCUCCACGUCCAGGAGGAAUCAGAGUGGGUGUUUAACCCCCACCCCCACAGCCCUGUGCCUUACCUUCCCACAAGCCACCAUGGAGAGGGCCACUUGGUACCAAAGGUGAAAUUCUUCAAAUGCAUACUUCAUGGCUCGCUCUAGGCACUGGGGAGGAACAUGUGGUCAGCACUGCCCCACCAGCCACCUGCUUGCCCCGCAUCCCAGUCCCUUACGGGGUAACCAUGAGCCACGUCACUGCCUUCAGAGAGUCGCAGGGUGGUCUGGGAACACAGGGAUGAUCCAGUCCCUGCACAUAAGCACUGUGAUGCUGCACAAAGGUUGUCUCACCCACAGUAGUCCUAGGUUCCCACCUCCAUAAUACAUGGAUGGUUUCAGACAGCCAUUUUGAUGUGCAAAUGAAAUAAGGCUUAUGAAAUAAAAAUAACUAGUGUUUAUUACCA